AUUAACCGCGGUCGGCAUGCUUAACACAAUCCAGUCGAACGGUAACAGGAGAAAGCUUGUUUUCUUUCCUGACGAUGGCGGAGGGGUGAGUAAUGCUUGGGAAUCUGGCUUAUGGAGGGGGAUAACGACGGGAAACUGUCGCUAAUACCGCGUAGGAUCGAGAGAUGAAAAGUGCGGGACCGCAAGGCCGCAUGCCAUAGGAUGAGCCCAAGUGGGAUUAGGUAGUUGGUGGGGUAAUGGCCUACCAAGCCGACGAUCUCUAGCUGGUCUGAGAGGAUGACCAGCCACACCGGGACUGAGACACGGCCCGGACUCCUACGGGAGGCAGCAGUGGGGAAUAUUGCGCAAUGGGGGCAACCCUGACGCAGCCAUGCCGCGUGAAUGAAGAAGGCCUUCGGGUUGUAAAGUUCUUUCGGUGACGAGGAAGGCGUGAUGUUUAAUAGGCAUCACGAUUGACGUUAAUCACAGAAGAAGCACCGGCUAACUCCGUGCCAGCAGCCGCGGUAAAACGGAGGGUGCGAGCGUUAAUCGGAAUAACUGGGCGUAAAGGGCACGCAGGCGGCUAUUUAAGUGAGGUGUGAAAUCCCCGGGCUUAACCUGGGAAUUGCAUUUCAGACUGGGUAGCUAGAGUACUUUAGGGAGGGGUAGAAUUCCACGUGUAGCGGUGAAAUGCGUAGAGAUGUGGAGGAAUACCGAAGGCGAAGGCAGCCCCUUGGGAAUGUACUGACGCUCAUGUGCGAAAGCGUGGGGAGCAAACAGG
rnacentral:rRNA from 1 species